GGAGACGUGGCCGAGCGGCCGAAGGCGCUCCCCUGCUAAGGGAGUAGGGGCCAUGAAAGUCCCUCAUGGGUUCAAAUCCCAUCGUCUCCG
rnacentral:tRNA from 1 species